AUGGUCAAGAAUCAGCCAUGCAUGUCUCAGUAUAAGCUUCUAUACGGCGAAACUGCGAAUAGGCUCAUUAAAACAGUUAUAGUUUAUUUGGUGGUCAGCAAUUACAUGGAUAACCGUGGUAAUUCUAGAGCUAAUACAUGCGCCCAAACCCGACUUCGUGGAAGGGUUGUGUUUAUUAGAUACAGAACCAACCCAGGCUCCGCCUGGCCUUGAGGUGAUUCAUAAUAACCGAACGAAUCGCAUGGCUAUGCCGGCGAUAGACCAUUCAAGUUUCUGACCUAUCAGCUAUCGUCGGUAGGGUAUUGGCCUACCGUGGCAAUGACGGGUAACGGAGAAUUAGGGUUCGAUUCCGGAGAGGGAGCCUGAGAAACGGCUACCACAUCUAAGAAAAGGCAGCAGGCGCGCAAAUUACCCAAUCCUGACGCAGGGAGGUAGUGACAAGAAAUAACAAUACAGGGCAUACAUGUCUUGUAAUUGGAAUGAGUAAACUUUAAAUCACU
rnacentral:rRNA from 1 species